rnacentral:misc_RNA from 1 species
AGCUACAAAAUAGUUAUAAGAGGUUUACAUCCAAAAAUUAACACAAAAAAAUUAAGUGAUGAAUUAGCAAAAAUUGACCAUCAAACAAGAGCAAUAAACAAUAUAACAAGAUAUGAUACAAAAAGCAACCAUUACCAUUAUUCUUAAUCCUUAGAGUACUAUGGGCGCAUAUAUGCGUCUGAAGCUAUCGGAAGCUAUCGGUGUGGACUAAGCACACAUAUAUGCGUUUUCUGUAAGUGCCCGGCAUGGGCUAAGGACGGAUAUAUGCGUUUGUCAAUUUUUCCGAACACCUACGCAGAAAUAAAUAUAAAUGCAUUCCUUAGUAACGGCAGUAAACAAAUGCCAAUAAUGCCUCGUUAUAACAGUUGUCUACCUGUUUCGCGGACAGUCGCAUCUAAUUAUCAAGAAGAAAAUGUGUUGUUUGUGUAAAAAAUAAGAGAAUGCAGAAAAUGCCAUGUCGGAUUAUGUAUUGAUAAUUGUUUUGAAAUUUUGUACAUACAACUAAAUUAUUAACUUGUGUUAUAUUUACCAAAUUUAGUUUUUUAGUUUAUUGUUUUCUAGUUUAUUACCAAAAUUCUAGUUUCUUGUAAAUUUCAAUGUUUAUAAUAAAUAAUUAAUACUAAAA